rnacentral:rRNA from 1 species
CGAAGGGUGCAAGCGUUACUCGGAAUUACUGGGCGUAAAGCGUGCGUAGGUGGUGAGUUAAGUCUGUCGUGAAAGCCCCGGGCUCAACCUGGGAAUGGCGAUGGAUACUGGCUCGCUAGAGUGCGGUAGAGGAGAGUGGAAUUCCCGGUGUAGCAGUGAAAUGCGUAGAGAUCGGGAGGAACAUCAGUUGCGAAGGCGGCUCUCUGGACCAGCACUGACACUGAGGCACGAAAGCGUGGGAGCAAACAGGAUU